GGAGACGAGUGGUGGUGGGGAGAGAUGGAUGGCGUGGACAGCUGCUGAUCAGGGCCUCUCCUAUUCCUACGACGACGCCAGGGCCACCCCUCCACCGACGCCUCCGACCUCGCGCGCGGGCAAGCUGGCGGGAGAGCCCCCGUCGCCGUUGGCGCAGCGGCCGCCAUGACCUCCACCACCACCAACACCAUCACCACCACCACCACCAACAACAACAACCCUCCUAACCAUCCGGUCUCCACN
rnacentral:lncRNA from 1 species